CGGGCUUGGGCCGGGUCAGUUCGGAUUUUUUUGGCUCGAUCUAAGCUCUGGGUUCCAUGUUAGCCCCCUGUAUGGAUGUUAGUGAUGGAACCAGUGAAGGGUCCAUUUGAGAAGUACAGGGGUUGGACAAUGAAACUGAAACACCUGUCAUUUUAGUGUGGGAGGUUUCAUGGCUAAAUUGGAGCAGCCUGGUGUCCAAUCUUCAUUAAUUGCACAUUGCACCAGUAAGAGCAGAGUGUGAAGAAGGACCAACCACAUCCAACAGGAUUAACUGUGGACGCUGUAAGAGGAAGCUGUCUGAAAGGGAUGUUCGGGUGCUAACCCGGAUUGUAUCCAAAAAACAUAAAACCACGGCUGAUCAAAUCACGACAGAAUUCAAUGUGCACCUCAACUCUCCUGUUUCCACCAGAACUGUCCAUCACCACAAUCAAUUAUUGUGCUCUAAAAC